rnacentral:rRNA from 1 species
UACGAGAGGCCCAAACGUUUAUUCGGAAUUACUGGGCUUAAAGAGUUCGUAGGCGGCGCAGAAAGUAGGGUGUGAAAGCCCUCGGCUUAACCGAGGAAUUGCGCUCUAAACUACUGUGCUUGAGGAACCUAGAGGUGAGCAGAACUGAUGGUGGAGCGGUGAAAUGCGUUGAUAUCAGUCAGGAAUACCGGAGGCGAAGGGCGGCUCACUGGGGGGUUUUCUGACGCUGAGGAACGAAAGCCAGGGGAGCGAAGCGGG